CACAGUGGUAACGGAUAUGACUUUGGGAAGUUUAGCAUUCGUCACACAGCCAGAUUUUUUUUUUCCUCCCCACCAAGAUGAAUACGGUGUUCCCAUGCUAUUUGCGGGGAUCACGACUGAGCUAUUCCGUGAAUAGCGAAAACACAAAGGAGUAUUUUCACCUCACUAACCCUGAAAAGAUGUGAACGAGUGCGGAGACUUCACGAACGGAGGCUGCGAGCAAUUGUGCGAGAAUCACCCCGGAGCCUUCAACUGUACCUGCAGGGAGGGCUAUCGUGUUCAAAGCGAUGAUCACGCCAAGUGCCGGCCUGUGUGCGACCCCCCUUGUCAGAACUACGGAGUGUGUGUGGCGCCCAACAGCUGCGACUGUCCUGCGGGAUACCCUGGCCUUGGCUGCUCAGGUUGCUGUCUGUACUUACUGAUGUAAUUUUUACUGUUUAUCAAAGGGUGAGAAAACGUGAGCGCAUGGGCCGUAUUUUUUAUUUAUUAGUUUUUUUUUAAAGGCCAGGUCAUUCGUAAAUGAGGUAAAACAGAAAAAGAGUUUUAUGCCAAAACAUGCCCAAUUCAAAUUAAACUGCAGUAUCAAACUCACCACCAGAGGGUGCUGGAACCGCACAAAUGGAAACGGAUGUGCUGUUUUUCAAUAUUCCGACAUGACAACGACCUUGUGACAAUGUUAAAAGGCGAUAUUGCCGUUAUCGUUACAUCCCUACGCAAUAAUAAAAUAUGUAAAUUGAAGACGACGAAUUGAAAAGCCAACAUCCAUCCAUGCAAGAGGCACACCAAUCACAAGGCACGUUGUCGAUUUCGAGGAAAACUCAAGGAUUGUAAGUUUGCCUUCUGGUCUGAAAAAUACGGUACUCGCUGGACACCUAACUAUUGAAAUCCAAUACAAAACAAUCAGAAAUUUUGCCUUUGUAUAGCCCA